AGAAAUAUUAAAAUGUUGAUUGAAAGAGCAUGAAUGAAUCAGUGUAUAGGUAUCAGCGUCACAAUGUCCACUCCAGCCAAUAACAGGGUCUGACCGGGUCUGCUGUUUGAAAUGGACAGAUAUUGUGAUUGUCAAUUAAUUACUUUUACCCAGUUCAUAACCUCCGAUGUGUCCUGCUCUAAGGUUUUAUUCACUAAAAUGACAGGCCGAACAGUAACGAUAGAAGUUAGGUGAAUUUAUUUCCAAACCAGUUUAUUUUGGCCUGAAUUUUACAAUAAGGUUUUCAAUUCCCUAUAAUUCAUGGAUCGCAGUUUAACCCCUUAAGGACACAUGACAUGUGUGACAUGUCAUGAUUCCUUUUUAUUCCAGAAGUUUGGUCCUUAAGGGGUUAAUGGAUAAAUACUUUUGUCUUAAUUAUUGGGUACCUUCCUGUUUAUGCAAAAAGUCCAGCAAUGAAUCACAUGGUUUGCACCAUAUUUACAAAGCAUGCAGACAUGAUCAAGAGAUUUUGUAACUAUUUGACCAAAUAUUAAAUUGCGUGCUAGUUUUGUGUUCAGAAAAACCUCAGUAUUGAGAGGUUAGAAGAUCAAACAGCCGCGUUUUACAGGUGUGGUGUGCAGAAGGCCCUUCCUUGACCAUCAUUCGGAUCAUUAAGCACCAUUGAUUGUCAUUCUCUAAUGUGAUUGUAAAGUAGAUAAUACUAUAUGUCAUAAAGAAGACAUCAUUUCAAACGGUUUCCAGAAACAUGAUUGUCAAUUUAUAUUGCUUUUGAAUAACGAGACAUAAGAACGAGUGUGCGGCCAUAAAAUCAAAAGGCACUGUAUGACUCUUUGGAGUCUGUAUGGUCAGCACCCCUAACGCUCCUUGAUCAAUCCAUGCACACGUUACAUCCUCUGUGUAACAGACAACAGAAAAACCUUGUACACUGUAUUAAUAAGAUAUAUUAGUUAUUCUUAGAUAUUUGAAUUUCUUUCAUAGAUGUUAAAAAAAUAUUUUUCAUGAACAUAUUUCUGGAUAUAAAUUUACAGACAAUUCCAUUUAUUUCUUCUGGUUGGAUGCUUGAUGGCCAAAGUAAAUGGAGAUUUGGAGGUUAAAGUUACAGCAUAAUUUAGUGGUUCUGGUGUCUCAUUGAGUGAUGCUUUCCCAUGGGCAGUUUGAAUACGUGCGCAGCUCUUGCCGCACAUGCGCAUUCUGAGCUAAC